UACGGGGGGGGCGAGCGUUGUUCGGAAUCACUGGGCGUAAAGGGCGCGUAGGCGGCCCGCACAAGUCUGCGGUGAAAACCUCCGGCUUAACCGGGGGCCGGCCGUGGAAACUGUCGGGCUGGAGGCUGGGAGAGGGCAGCGGAAUUCCCGGUGUAGCGGUGAAAUGCGCAGAUAUCAGGAGGAACACCUAUUGCGAAGGCAGCUCGCUGGGACGUAACUGACGCUGAGACGCGAAAGCGUGGGGAGCAAACAGG
rnacentral:rRNA from 1 species